AGCGAACGCUGGCGGCAGGCUUAACACAUGCAAGUCGAGCGGGCAUAGCAAUAUGUCAGCGGCAGACGGGUGAGUAACGCGUGGGAACGUACCUUUUGGUUCGGAACAACACAGGGAAACUUGUGCUUAUACCGGAUAAGCCCUUACGGGGAAAGAUUUAUCGCCGAAAGAUCGGCCCGCGUCUGAUUAGCUAGUUGGUGAGGUAAUGGCUCACCAAGGCGACGAUCAGUAGCUGGUCUGAGAGGAUGAUCAGCCACAUUGGGACUGAGACGCGGCCCAAACUCCUACGGGAGGCAGCAGUGGGAAUAUUGGACAAUGGGCGCAAGCCUGAUCCAGCCAUGCCGCGUGAGUGAUGAAGGCCCUAGGGUUGUAAAGCUCUUUUGUGCGGGAAGAUAAUGACGGUACCGCAAGAAUAAGCCCCGGCUAACUUCGUGCCAGCCGCCGCCGUAA
rnacentral:rRNA from 1 species